rnacentral:sRNA from 1 species
UAUAUUUUCAGUUAUUUUUAAUAAAACAAAUAGUCUCGCGGUGUACCGCGGGUUAAAAUCUAGUUUGGAUAUAUUUCUAUUUUUUAUAUUCAAUCAUAAGCAUU